AACGACAUGAGGUAAUUAAUGACAGAAUUUUCAUUUUUGGGUGAACUAACCCUUUAAGGUUAAUAUUUGUCUUAACAAGCACGCACUGCUAGAUUAUUACCCUUUUUACUAACCAUUUUUUAAGCUGUUAACCUUUGUAUCAUCAGUGAUUACCUGAAUAUCUUUUUAAGUGUGUAGACAUUCACCUGGCAAACCCCAAACACACGUGCAUACACACUUCAGUUGAGGAAUGGACUUUCGAGGUGAAAUAUUGCACAAGGGAAUGGUACAGAAUGAGCCGGACGUCUGGAGGCAGAUAAAUAGUGUCGGCUGGCGGUUAGGACACAUCAGCCGUAAACAGUACCGGCAGCCAUAAAAAGACGAACAGCUUUAUUUCCCCAGUCCUUGCAGACACAUCAGUGAGACGGACACAGCGCUCGGAGUAAAUAAAACAAGCUGACUGGUGGGGCGCUUAGACUGGGAGCUGAAGGAUCGCUCCGGGUCCCAUAAUAAUGCCCCGUAGGGCUCACGUCAAGACACUCCAGUGGGACUGAGCAAGUGCUUUUACCUCCCUGUUUGGCGCUCGCCAACUAAACCGAUGUUCAUACACCAAUCAAAUUGCAUUUACUUUAAUAGUACUGCAGUGCUUCAGCACACCAAUAGUACUGCAUACUUGGAUGAUAAAAUUACAAAUUUAUAUUUCUGGAUUUUUUUUAUUGGAUGAGCCAUUUUUGAAAUCAGUUGUCAAAAAAUAUAACCGCACUAUUAUUGACUGCCUAUUAGUUCUAUUAAUUAAAUUCAGUGCAAUUAUCUAUGAACCAGUAAAUCACAGUAAAUGAAGUGCAUUUAUGCUAAUUCACAAUUUUUUUGGAUGGAAGUAUUAUUAUUAUUGUUAUUUUUAUACAACAAUAAAAGACUCCAAAAGAUCCCAUAUUUAAUAAUUACAUUUUAUAAGUAUAAUUAGAUUGUAUAAUAAUAACAAUAUGAAUAAUAUUGUAAUUAUUUAUUAAACAUGGGGUCUUUUGUCAUUGUCACUUAUUGCAGUGAUUUUACCAGGUUAAGAGGGUUUUUGGCUCUCUGUGUCACAGUGUGUAUAACUACACCCGUUAACUGUGGUAAAAUCACUGCAAUACACUGCCUGUCUUUGUAUAUUAUCUUAGUAGAGGAUAGUUGGUGAGCAUGGUCAUUAUUAUUGUAUUUAAAAUAUAUUUUUUUUUAUUGAAAGAACAAGCUCUUGAGCUAUUCCUGAUACAGUCAGAUGUAGAGUAAAAUUAAUAAGCGUAAAAUAAUAUUCCUGUACAUUUUAUGGUAAACCCAUUUAGCACUGAGACCUAUGAUUGAGUGAACAGAUGAGUGUUGAUUUAAUAUUUUUUGAUGUUUAUAUUAAUUAGGAUUUAAUUGUCAAAAAUAUUUAGCUCAGACAUGCAAGUUGGACACAAACGGGAAAAUAUUAGCAGCCCUUGCAUUAUUCCAGUUUCAUCAGCCUCGUUUUAAUUAACCUCUUUGAAUAAUUAACCACACGUUAUUAUCAAAUGAAGCAAAUAAUUGAGGUGCUGGCUCAAUUUGUAAUUUGACGAUUUUCUACCAUUUUAAUUCAUGUGUUUCCCACUUUGAAACGAAGGAAAAACAUUUUACAGUAAUGACCUUAAUGAACACGGAUUGCUGAGACGAGAGGGAGCCGGAAUAACACCGUCUGUAGUCAGUGAGCACAGACAAGACUGGUCAAUCCCUUGAGGAGUUCUCCGUCUCAUUGUGUGUGUGUGUGUAUGUGUGUGUGUGUGUGUGUUUCUCUCUCUCUCUCAGGAGGAGCUGAUAGGGCUCAGGGGAACUCUGGAGAAUCUCUACAUGGCCCAGUAUUGGGAAAAGACAGGAAACAGCCUUUCAUUACAGUAUAGAGGCUCAGACAUGGGGGAACGAUGCCAGAGCGACUCUUUCCUCGAGUUUGCAGGCAGUGCACCCGUCCACUGCUCUGCUAGGCAAAUCCUCUCCCUUCAAACCAUCUUGGGACUAGGAUUACUGAAAUUUUAUGAAGCAGAAUCAAUUAAGCAGGUAAGGGAAUUGGGAUCUCUGGGAAGACUGCGGGUUUGGAGAGGCCUUGAGCCCGAGCUUUGGACGCCGUGGAGGUGGGAUAUCCAGUGGAUAUGCAUAAACGGGCUGGGGAGGAUGAAAGCUGUUCAGCAGAUAAAGCCAUAGCAGUCUGUCGGAAUCCUGCCAUGCCGGCCCUGAUUUAUGACCGUCUCAGUCAGACUCCCUACCAAAUCCACCUGCUACCUUUUUGUUGAGUGGAGAUGCCUAACUUUGAGCCGAUAGUACGACCACACAUACACGCAAGGGACGUGGUCUGGUUCGUCACACUGAACCUGAGGACACAGCCGAUGCCUCUGAGUAGCACUCUGAUGUUCCCAGCUCUUCUUCUCUCGCGCAACAUUAAAAAGUCUGGAUAAAAGAGAAGGGAAGGAAAGGGGGAAGAAGACACCAAGAUUCUGACACACUCUGCAUAAACAUCUCCUUAUUAGUGACCGUAGAUGCCCAGGGAGAUUCUGCCGCCACACACACUCAGUCACAGCGGCUCUCGCCAGCCUCGCUGUGGCUCAUCCAGUGUGACUGAAGCACCCUGCUGAGAGCCCAGAUGUCAGAGGUCGAUCUUCACCAGCGUAACCUCUACAAACACGUCUUCCGGUCUUUCACAGAUGCCAUGUUCAUGCUGAUGUUGUGAUUUAUCAAGAGUGGGAUCUGACCUCAGCUCGCCUGACCCCACAGCCACGGACGCACGUUACCUUCAGAUGAAGUGCAUUUGCCACCUGAGGAGAAGUCACACCGUGCGGCCGCCAGUUCGGUUCUUGGAAAUCGCACCUCAAUGACGCACAUCAAAAUUCAAUCACACACAAGCACCAUCCAGGCACCCACCUCCACCCCCUUGUUGACUUGAUUAAGGUGUGAUGUGAAGUCGGUGCAGUGGGCUCCUGUUGUGUGUGAGGUGUGAAAGGCAGUGCACACUUCUUGAGGAGUUGAGGACAGAUUGAGUUCUGUACUGCUGAACAGCUGUCAUUCCCUGCUCACUGUCAAACAACAUACAGGGAUGCCUGGGGUUCUGUCAGCUCUACCUCCAUCCAGAACAUUUAUUUAUCUGAGGAGGAGAAAGAAAAGCUGGAAUAACACAAAGAGAGGAUGAUGACAGUGCAGUGCUUCCAGGUUCUACGUCAGAACGCCGACUCAGUAUCGGACAGAAAGCUCUCGGAUUUCAUCAAAAAUGUCUUAAUUUGUGUUCCAAAGAUGAACGAAGGUCUUACGGGUUUAGAACGACAUGAGGAUUCUCACACCUCCAGCUCAGCGUUGAUAUCUGUUCAGAGAGAGACAGAGAGAAUGAAAGAAUGGAAGGAGGAGGUGCAAAGAAGAGGAGGAGCGCCGCACGGAGAAUACCCACAACUCCUUGGGAAGUCGUCUCUAUUGGCAAAUCAUUGGAGAACGCGCACAAAGAGAAGGCUUUCUUCUGUUCCUGUAUACUGGAUUAAGUGAGGAUGUACAGUGCUAUUUUAAACCCCCUUUCCCAGUGGAGCCGUGAAUAACUGGUGUGAUUAAACAAGAAGUCUCAGAUCUUCAUCUGACUCACAAACUGACCCUAAAUAACCAUCCACCCAAGCCACCAUAAGUAACUGGAUGUCCAGCCAACGGCUUCAGCAGGGAACAUCUCGUUUUUGACACUAGAUUCAGCGGUCACAGCAGAAAACUCUUUCGAGUUGCAUGUGAACAGAUGUCUUGUGUUACUUAGAAGGCUAGGCUGAGAAGGAUCCACUCGUUCUAUCCUUCGUGGACUGGGAAAAGAAGGAUGCAUUAGUAGGCCGCAUUUAAAGGAACCUUCGAAUUGGGACAGCCUGUGAUGCAUUCAGCCUUCAAAGGAUGCAGCCGCUGAAUUGGGACGCAGCUUUUAUGAAUAGAAAUGACAAUGGAUGGGAAUUAAAUGGACACUUUUGCUCGAACCUCCUGCUUCUCAGACUCUUUCAGAGUUUCAGAAGAGAUCUCAACAGACUGUGCUCUCAA